CCCAACUAUCCCUAUUAAUCAUUACGUCGAUCCUAGAAACCAACAAAAUAGAAUCAAACGUCCUAUUUCAUUAUUCCAUGCUAAUGUAUUCAAGCGUAUGCCUGCUUUAAACACUCUAAUUUUUUCAAAGUAACAGUCCUGAUUUCCCAAGACAUCAAAUUAAUGACAUCAUGGUUCUUCAGAAGGGAGAAACCAGUAAUGACAGUACGUACCGAAGCACGACCGACAUACUGAUCCCGAAAUUCAACUACGAGCUUUUUAACUGCAACAACUUUAAUAUACGCUAUUGGAGCUGGAAUUACCGCGGCUGCUGGCACCAGACUUGCCCUCCAA
rnacentral:misc_RNA from 1 species